GAUGAACGCUGGCGGCGUGCCUAACACAUGCAAGUCGAGCGAACAGACCAGCUUUUUGUUUCUCUGAUGUUAGCGGCGGAUGGGUGAGUAAUACGUAGAUAACCUACCUAUAACACUGAGAUUACUUCUGAAACCCGGAGCCAAUAUCUGAUUAUAUUUUGAACUGCAUGGUUCAACAUGUGAAGACGGUCUUGCUGUUACUUGUUGAUGGUUCCGCGCUGGAUUAGCUAGUUGGUAAGGUAACGGUUUACCAAGGCAACGAUGCAUAGCGGACCUCAGAGGGUGAUCGGCGACACUGACACUGAGACACGGUCCAGACUCCUACGGGAGGCAGCAGUAGGGAAGCUUACGCAAUGGGCGAAAGCCUGACGGAGCAGCGCCGCGUGAGUGAGGAAGGUCUUCGGAUCGUAAAACUCUGUUAUUAGGGAAGAACAUAUGUGUAAGUAACUGUGCACGUCUUGACGGUACCUAAUCAGAAAGCCACGGCUAACUACGUG
rnacentral:rRNA from 1 species